CUGAAAACAUAUAAAAGCUAAAGUGUACUCUAUCGGACAUUCAGAAUGAAUCCUGUUACAAGGAUUAUUGCUCAGAUUUUGUUUGGAUAAAAAAGAGGAAAACUGGCGCAUUUUUUAAAGAUGAGGUCGAUUGGGUCAUCGCCGCACUUACCCACUAUCCAACUAUGCAGUACGAUCCUCAGCUUCCUCCUCAGCAUCCUCCAUUCUGGCACCUUAAUUUCAGAUUUUGACGAACAAAGUCGCAUAACUCUGGAACGACAAUUCAGAAUUCCGUCAAAAAUGAAAGGGGAUCAGGGUUUAUGAAUAUUAAGAUUGUGUUAAAAUUUGAAAAAAAUCCAUCGAAGGAUAUUUGAGCUACGGUAGGACAUUCAAUGAAAUCACGAAAUUUUGACGAACAAAGUCCCAUAACUCUGGAACAACAAUUCAGAAUUCCGUCAAAAACGAAAGGGGAUCAGGGUUUAUCAAUAUUAAGAUUGUGUUGAAAUUUGAAAAAAAUCCAUCGAAGGAUAUUUGAGCUACGGUAGGACAUUCAAUGAAAUCACGAAAUUUUGACGAACAAAGUCCCAUAACUCUGGAACAACAAUUCAGAAUUCCGUCAAAAACGAAAGGGGAUCAGGGUUUAUCAAUAUUAAGAUUGUGUUGAAAUUUGAAAAAAAUCCAUCGAAGGAUAUUUGAGCUACGGUAGGACAUUCAAUGAAAUCACGAAAUUUUGACGAACAAAGUCCCAUAACUCUGGAACGACAAUUCAGAAUUCCGUCAAAAACGAAAGGGGAUCAGGGUUUAUCAAUAUUAAGAUUGUGUUGAAAUUUGAAAAAAAUCCAUCGAAGGAUAUUUGAGCUACAGUAGGACAUUCAAUGAAAUCACGAAAUUUUGACGAACAAAGUCCCAUAACUCUGGAACGACAAUUCAGAAUUCCGUAAAAAACGAAAGGGGAUCAGGGUUU